rnacentral:rRNA from 1 species
UACGGAGGGUGCAAGCGUUAUCCGGAUUCACUGGGUUUAAAGGGUGCGUAGGCGGACUUAUAAGUCAGUGGUGAAAUCUCGUUGCUUAACAACGAACGUGCCAUUGAUACUGUAGGUCUUGAGUACAGAUGCCGUUGGCGGAAUGUGUCAUGUAGCGGUGAAAUGCAUAGAUAUGACACAGAACACCGAUUGCGAAGGCAGCUGACGAAACUGUAACUGACGCUGAGGCACGAAAGCGUGGGGACCAAACAGG